rnacentral:rRNA from 1 species
UCUCUUUCAUCCCUCACGUCCGACGGUGAGGGAUGAAAGCUGGGGGAGCAAACCGGAUUAGAUACCCGGGUAGUCCCAGCUGUAAACUAUGCAAACUCAGUGAUGCAUUGGCUUGUGGCCAAUGCAGUGCUGCAGGGAAGCCGUUAAGUUUGCCGCCUGGGAAGUACGUACGCAAGUAUGAAACUUAAAGGAAUUGGCGGGGGAGCACCACAAGGGGUGAAGCCUGCGGUUCAAUUGGAGUCAACGCCAGAAAUCUUACCCGGAGAGACAGCAGAAUGAAGGUCAAGCUGAAGACUUUACCAGACAAGCUGAGAGGUGGUGCAUGGCCGUCGCCAGCUCGUGCCGUGAGAUGUCCUGUUAAGUCAGGUAACGAGCGAGAUCCCUGCCUCUAGUUGCCACCAUUACUCUCAGGAGUAGUGGGGCGAAUUAGCGGGACCGCCGCAGUUAAUGCGGAGGAAGGAAGGGGCCACGGCAGGUCAGUAUGCCCCGAAACUCUGGGGCCACACGCGGGCUGCAAUGGUAACGACAAUUGGUUUCGAAUCCGAAAGGAUGAGGUAAUCCUCAAACGUUACCACAGUUAUGACUGAGGGCUGCAACUCGCCCUCACGAAUAUGGAAUCCCUAGUAACUGCGUGUCAUUAUCGCGCGGUGAAUACGUCCCUGCUCCUUGCACACACCGCCCGUCGUUUCAUUGAAGUGAGCUUUUAGCGAGGUGACGUCUAAUUGGCGUUAUCGAACUUGAGGUUCGUGACAAGGGAAAAGUCGUAACAAGGUGACCGUAGGGGAACCUGCGGUCG